rnacentral:misc_RNA from 1 species
GAAAUGCGAUAAGUAAUGUGAAUUGCAGAAUUCAGUGAAACAUCGAAUCUUUGAACGCACCUUGCGCUCCUUGGUAUUCCUUGGAGCAUGCCUGUUUGAGUAUCAUGAAAUCUUCAAAGUAAAUCUUUUGUUAACUCAAUUGGUUUCUACUUUGGUAUUGGAGGUCUUUGCAGCUUCACACCUGCUCCUCUUUGUUCAUUAGCUGGAUCUCAGUGUUAUGCUUGGUUCCACUCGGCGUGAUAAGUUAUCUAUCGCUGAGGACACUGUAAAAGGUGGCAAAGGUAAAUGCAGAUGAACCGCUUCUAAUAGUCCAUUGACUUGGACAAUACUUUUAUGAUCUGAUCUCAAAUCAGGUAGGACUACCCGCUGAACUUAAGC